UACAGAGGGUGCGAGCGUUGUUCGGAAUUAUUGGGCGUAAAGCGCGCGUAGGCGGUUACUUAAGUCGGAUGUGAAAGCCCUCGGCUUAACUGAGGAAGUGCACCCGAAACUGAGUAGCUAGAGUACGAAAGAGGGUCGCGGAAUUCCCGGUGUAGAGGUGAAAUUCGUAGAUAUCGGGAGGAACACCUAUGGCGAAGGCAGCUCUCUGGGACGGUACUGACGCUGAGACGCGAAAGCGUGGGGAGCGAACAGG
rnacentral:rRNA from 1 species